UCCUCUUUCACCCUAGCAUCUUGCUUUGUAUCCCAGGCUGACCUGAAGCUGAUGACUAUUCUGGCUCAGUCCUUCUUGCUGCCAAGUGCUGAGAUGGGGUGUGCCACUGUGCCAGGCUCUGUCGAGGAUGCCCGGCUUUUCUUACCAUCCUGCAAUGCAUUCUUGUGCUCUUUCUACUCUCCCAGAAUCUGACCUCAAGAUCCCAUCUUUGGUACCCUUUGAUGUAGCACCAAAAUAUUGUCUUAGUAGAAAUCCAUCUCUGCUCUGCCUCGCAUGAAGAUGGUUAAAUUCAGCAUCCUCCAUUGGCAGAGAAAUGCAAGCGAAUUUCUUCAGGAAAUGUAGAAGCCAGAAACAGUCGGCAGAGGGAGGAAUCGGCAGGAAGAAGCAAAGCUGAGACCUGACAGGUCUAAAAUAAAGCAAGCUCCUGUGGUCUGUGGGGAACAUAUUCCAAGACCCCCAGUGGAAGCCUGAGACAGCACCUGGCCCUGAACCCUCUGUUGUGUGAUGCUUUCCCUCUACCUACACGUGAUGAAAUGAAGUGCAGGAGUUAGGCACAGUAAGAGAAUAACCACAAUAAAGAAUAAUAAAACAGAACCACUCAUAUACCAUAAUAAAAUUGCCAGCAUCCCAGCCCUUGCAUUUUGGGUUAGGAUUACGGCGCAGAAUAAGGGUCACUUGAAUAUGAGCACAGUGUUUCUGUUGACAAUUGAUCUGGUCCCUGGCUGGUUCCUAAGUGACUGACAGUGGUGAUGUCCAGAGUCAGGGAGUCCAAGCAUUGUCACACUCCUCACAAUGGGCUCCAAUUAAAUAAAACCUUCUAAAGUGUUUGCUUCUAGAAUCUUUCAUCUAAUAUUUUCAGUUGUUUGUAGGUGACUAAAACUCAGGGAAGCAAAACCCCAACUGGGCCACAGCAAAAGAUGUCCUGCAGGCCAGGUGCUCUGGGCAGAGGUCAGCUGGGAG